rnacentral:lncRNA from 1 species
CUUGCCCAUCGUAUCCGGUUCAACAGCUUCUCUACUUGGUAUGGGUUUACUGCACAAUGAGAUGCCAAAAAAAAAAGUACACGUGACUACACCGCAGGCACAACCCCAAGAAAAACGAAAGGAUGAAAAUAUAUAUUCAUACCGGGAGAAAUUGUGGCAGCUUGUCACAAAGAGCUAACCUUGGAACAAGGUCCUUGGUACAGAGACCAAGGAAAUUUCAGUGCAAAGCUAUAGCAGCAUAUAAUGAACGGAGGAAAGUGCCCCGUAGCACGGCAACAUUUCGGAUGGCGUAACCCCCACCACCCAAGAGCAGUAGGGGAAGAAAAGAAGAAUCAAUUAGACGAUGANNN